rnacentral:rRNA from 1 species
GGCCUAACACAUGCAAGUCGAACGGCAGCAUGUUUUGUAGCAAUACAAGAUGAUGGCGAGUGGCGGACGGGUGCGUAAUACGUAGGAAUUUGCCUUGAAGAGGGGGAUAACCCGGGGAAACUCGGGCUAAUACCGCAUACUACUCUGUGGAGGAAAAGCUUGGGCAACCAGGCGCUUUAAGAGGAGCCUACGUCCGAUUAGCUAGUUGGUAGGGUAAAGGCCUACCAAGGCAAUGAUCGGUAGCUGGUCUGAGAGGACGACCAGUCACACUGGGACUGAGACACGGCCCAGACUCCUACGGGAGGCAGCAGUGGGGAAUAUUGGACAAUGGGGGCAACCCUGAUCCAGCGAUGCCGCGUGGGUGAAGAAGGCCUUCGGGUUGUAAAGCCCUUUAGGUUGGGACGAAGGGUGUUCGAGGAAAUGCGAAUACUUUGACGGUACCGACAGAAU